rnacentral:misc_RNA from 1 species
GGAUUAGGAAGUUCUUCAACCUUGUUACUUUCUUCCUUAAACGAAUUGGAUUCACCAACAAGUUCCUUCUCCUUUUCAUCCUCAACCUUCGAUUCUCCAGUGACCGGAGCAGCAUCUUUCUCCGGUGACUCCGGCAAAGUUUCCGGCUCAGGUUGAGGUGUCUCCCUCACUGUAACAUCAGACACCACCACUUCAGGGGUGGUUUCUUCAGCUAUUUUCUUGGUUUCCUCAGCCAUUUCUUGGUUUCCCGAUCAGAUUUCAGAUACCCAGAAACGAAAAAGGCUUAAAGAAUGGAUUUUUAUUAAUGUAUAGAAGAAUUG